AGAAAGUUUUAAAAUAUUUAAUUUAAUAAAAAAUUUAUGUCAAUUAUUUCGACGAAAGUCACAAUUGCUUACACAAAAACAAACUAAAGUAGCAGCCCAAUCCCUAGCAGUCCGUCCGAUAUGAAGUCCGAUGAAUAAAAUCCAAUACAGGCCCAAUAGCUCUCCACAGAAACCCUAGUCUCUAUCUCUACUUAUUCCCACUCCACUCCUGAUUGUCGUCGAAGCUGCUGAGCGUCUCACAAUGAGAACUCAAUUCAAUUGUUUUAAACCCCUAAAUCUCACACCCAAACGACGCCGUUCCACCAAUCACAAAAGCUCCUGUCCAAGAAGCUGCUUUGUUUCCGCUACAAUUAACAAAACUCACCGCCAUAUCUCCUUUGAAUCAAAGUGAGGAGGCUGAUGAGUUGUCGAACUCUGGAAGACAGUGAGGAAACGUCACGGACUGCAUCAGAAAUGGCUGAUGUUCUGUAUCAUGCAAUGGUAUUAUUGUCUAUUUGUCUGUGAGAGGAGUGAAUAUAGAAGAGGUUUUAACAGUCCUCAGGCAAAGAUUUUCAAGAUCAGGCAUCGAGGAAAAAUUAGUCGCAAGCUGGAAGGAAGCUGAAGUAAACAUCUUCUGUUAGCAAAUACACAAAAGAAAAUUGUGUAUACAACUGUAUGUACAGAAGAAAAAUGUCAUUAGAAAGUACUCAGAUAAUUGCCUUGCAAGGCAAUUUGAUUAUGAUUGAGGUGGCCCAACUCGAAGGUAUUUUUUUCUAAGAGGGGUGUAUUGGAUUGGGAUUUUAAAGGAUUUUUUUGCAUUCAUGAAA